rnacentral:rRNA from 1 species
UCCCAAACCCCUGUGAACAUACCACUUGUUGCCUCGGCGGAUCAGCCCGCUCCCGGUAAAACGGGACGGCCCGCCAGAGGACCCCUAAACUCUGUUUCUAUAUGUAACUUCUGAGUAAAACCAUAAAUAAAUCAAAACUUUCAACAACGGAUCUCUUGGUUCUGGCAUCGAUGAAGAACGCAGCAAAAUGCGAUAAGUAAUGUGAAUUGCAGAAUUCAGUGAAUCAUCGAAUCUUUGAACGCACAUUGCGCCCGCCAGUAUUCUGGCGGGCAUGCCUGUUCGAGCGUCAUUUCAACCCUCAAGCACAGCUUGGUGUUGGGACUCGCGUUAAUUCGCGUUCCUCAAAUUGAUUGGCGGUCACGUCGAGCUUCCAUAGCGUAGUAGUAAAACCCUCGUUACUGGUAAUCGUCGCGGCCACGCCGUUAAACCCCAACUUCUGAAUGUUGACCUCGGAUCAGGUAGGAAUACCCGCUGAACUUAAGCAUAUCAA